GAAAAAGUACUAGUAAUAAGUUCGCCAAUAAGCACCAAGACAUCAAAAUUUUUGAACCACUAGUUUUCUAAUUAAAAGGUCUUUUCUGACACUGUCAACAAACAUGACUCUAGCAUUCUAAUAACGUUGACAAAAGAACGUAGUAAUUUAUAGCUACAAAAAGGGUUGCACGGGUUGCACAUACCACUAACUAAGCCGCUUUGAGUGUUCAUACUUUUCUCAGCCAACUAGAAAGUUAUUAACGCUAAUUUUAGGUCUCAGGUAAAGCGAAUUUGUCAAGUGCUUGCUUACAAUAACAUUAACACACUUUAACCAAGUACUUUAACAAAAGGGAAAAAUGAUCAAAGUAAUUCCGACAGCCCUAUCCUCAACAUGGAAUUGACAUUUCCAAUACUUUUCAAGCAAAGUAAACCCACCUAGUAAUAAGGAUAAUUCCCAUUCAAAAAAUGAAAUGAUCGCGUGUCUAUCAAUAAAUCCAUAAAUAAAGCUUAAAUCAUGAAAAACUUAAUGUACAAAAUAAAGGGAAAUAAUAAUAAAUAAAUAAAUGGGUACAAGAUUGGGUCCGAAAUUUUAAUGGAUACAGCUUACUCUAAGGCGAACUUCUUCUAAUUAAUUCAUCGUCUCUGUUUUAGUCGGGCAAGAAGAGUGCUUGAAGUAAUCGGACCUGAUGGUUUAGAAGUACCAGGAACAUUAGUAGAUUGCUGCGGAGGUAUAAGUUGACGAGGAGGUCGCCGAAAAGAUGAAACUGCACGCAGAGCUUCAUUAGCAACACGCGUCGCUUCUUUUUCAACCAAUAUGCUUUCAGUCUGGGAGGCUUCCAUGAUAUCGUCGUGCUUUAAAGUACUCUGAAUACCAGCACUAGCAAAAAUAUCAUCAAGGACGGAAUCAUCCCCUAAAGUCGAAUCAGAGUUUGUCUUAGUAACAUUUGACUCUUGCGGUGGUUUAUACUUUUCCAUCGAUGCAAUCCCCAUUUUUUCAAACACUUUGGAGCUGUUAACUUUUUUACCUUUGUCGUGAAUUUUGUGCUUUUUUCGGUCACGAGCUGGAAUAUCUUCAGCUUCAUUGCCAUUUCUUGAGGAAUUAUCCUUUCGAAGUACUCGUUCAGAUCCCAAAAACAUGCUGCCUGUCUCAGUGCCCUCAGUCUU